rnacentral:rRNA from 1 species
UGCAUGUCUAAGUAUAAGUUUUUUACUGCGAAACUGUGAAUGGCUCAUUACAAUAGUUAUUAUUUACUAGCCGGUCAGUUAUUCCUUGGAUACUCAUGGUAAUUCUAGAGCUAAUACAUGCUUACAGACCCAACUUCACGGAAGGGUUGCGCUUAUUAGAUACCGAACCAACCCCGCAAGGGAUUUAGUUGAUUCAUAGUGUUCUGGCGAAUCGACUUUUAGUCGAUGAGGCUAUCAAGUUUCUGACCUAUCAGCUUCCGACGGUAGGGUAUUGGCCUACCGUGGCUUUGACGGGUAACGGAGAAUUAGGGUUCGAUUCCGGAGAGGGAGCCUGAGAAACGGCUACCACAUCUAAGGAAGGCAGCAGGCGCGUAAAUUACCCAAUCCUGACACAGGGAGGUAGUGACAAGAAAUAUCAAUAUAAGACUUUUGUGUCUUGUAAUUGGGAUGAGCGGAACUUAAAUCGCUUCUCGAGUAUCAAUUGGAGGGCAAGUCUGGUGCCAGCAGCCGCGGUAAUUCCAGCUCCAAUAGCGUAUAUUAAAAUUGUUGCGGUUAAAACGCUCGUAGUUGGAUAUCUGUGAGCGGGUUCCGGUCCUUCCCAGUGAAGAUUACACGGAACUCUGCUCGCAUUUGUUCAGGGAGGGUGGAUGCACUUCACUGUGUGACCACAUGAUCUGAAUUUUUACUUUGAGGAAAUGAGAGUGUUCCAAGCAGGCAAUUGCCGUGAAUAUGAUAGCAUGGAAUAAUAGCACAGGACUCUUGGUUCAAUGCUGUUGGUUUGUUGAACUAGAGUAAUCACAAUAAGGAUAGUUGGGGGUAUUCGUAUUUAACUGUCAGAGGUGAAAUUCUUGGAUUUUUUAAAGACGAACAAUUGCGAAGGCAUCUACCCAGGAUGUUUUUGUUGAUCAAGAAC